CACUUACAAGAGUUUUUUAAUGCCUGACAAUUAUAUGAAACAUGACAAAGACACCCACAGAAGAGUUGUUAAACAUUCAGUGUUAAAAGGGCUUUCAUAAUCUCCUAACAUGCUGAGUUAUAGAAUCUCUUCCAAGUUUUGGUAAACCUCUGAAUUGAUUUCCUCUCCCCUCCCCCACAAAAAGGAACAUUAAACAUUUUUAUAUACAUUAAAAGUUCUAAUAAGUAAGACUUCUAGAAUUUUGUAGGUUCUGAUAACUGUGUUGAUUUUGGUUAAUUGUAUUGAAUGCAGUGGUGGGGGAUGGAUGGUGAAGACAUUCAAUAGCAGAAUAUAGCACUAAAUGUUUUCCUGUGAUAGUCUGAUAAAUUUGACCUCUGAUUUUUUUGAUAUUUUAGUUUAAAUGACUUCAGUUUCUGAGUGUAGGAUAUAGUUAACCCUUGAGUGCAUUUAAAGUGUAGGAAAUGUGGGAUGGGGGAGGGUGACAGAAAUAUUCUUUGUGGAUUGGAUAAAAUUCUUAACUGUGACUGCCACACCAGAACACCAUCUUUAUUUCCCUCUGAUCUAAAUUGCUAAAUCAUACUUCUGUUUUCCAUUUUAAUUAAAGAGCAGAAUAUUCUACUUUAUGGUGAUCAUGACAUCAUGAAUAAAAUGAGAUUCUAUACCUAGGCCAACUUAAGCCCAUUUAAGACACCUGACAUUUGAUAUUGUCUAAUUGAUGUGUUAAUUAUAUCUACAUUGUCCAGGUUCCAUUCCUGGAUCAAGUGUGACCAUCAAAAAAAAUUACCUGGACUACAUUAUUUCAAUUCUUUGAAGAAAUACCUUUAAUCACUUACUGUGUGUCAUGUUCUUUGACUUUAGCAGAGGGUCAUAAUGAAUACAGUCUUAGAAAAUGUUUCUCUAUGUCUUUUAUGAAAUGUUUUAUAAAUGUUUCUAUAUAUUUUUUAUAAAAUUAUGAAGAAACUGCCCUUUACAUAAGGACUCAUUCUUGAUUCUAGCUUCAUAAAAGAUCUCAUCUCUGCAAACAAAUCUCUAUGUUUUCUUUAAUAAGGAAAAGAAAACUAUGUAAUCCAACCUCUUCCUGCCAGGAAACUCAUGGCCAAGUGUCAUUUUUCACCCUAAGGACUUAAAAAGAUCGAAGCCUUUUGCUUUCUUCAGAGGAACCUUGACUGGCUGAUUCUAAAUGCUUUACUAUACAUUUAUUUUGGCCUGUGAGCCUCUGUAGUCCUUUUCAAGAUGAGGGACAAAUGUGAACCAUAUAAAGGAGGGGAUAAAAUCAGCCUACAUUUUUUGAUUGAAGCCUAAAAAGUUUAAUAAUGCAUUUAAUAGUUGCAUUGAAAAUAACAUUGAAAUUCUCAUACUUCUAAGAUGCUAAUUUUCUUUACAGCAUCACUGAAGCAUAUUAUUAGUUACUAUUAUUGGAAUGAAUACUCUGUAUGAAGCACUAUAUUGUUUGAUUAGAAUGUAUGCUCUUUGAGAGCAGAGAUAGUUUUUAUUUGUAUCUCCAGUUCCCAGCUUGUUACAUAAGGAGAUAUUUAAUGAAUGCAUGUUCAUUGACUGAUUGAUUCAAAGAUCCAUGGACCAGAAUUCAGAUAUCUAAUCCUAGCUCUGCUGUUAAUCAUUGAACACUGUAAGUACUUCUAAGUUUUACUUUUUAAAAAAAAAGAAUAAUUUUAUUGAUUAUUAACUUAGGUAUAUGAUUUGAUUAGGAGUAAUGCACCUUUGAGAAAUAGGAUAUAAAAUGAACAUCUUUGAGUAUCUUUAACAUUUGUUCAGCUCUCAUAUUCAGCUUAAAAAUAUAGUCUCUGGGAAAAUGUCUAUAUAACAUUCAAUAGAAUGAACAUGACUGGAAUGUACUUUGAAGUUUUCUGGGAUUUUCAUUUUUUCAUUUCAUCAAAAAAUUAAAAAAAUAGAGUGAAAAUUUUCUUCUUUUAAAAGGAAAUUACUGUGAUAGUUAUGAUGCUAUAAAA
ensembl:lncRNA